rnacentral:rRNA from 1 species
UACAGAGGGGGCAAGCGUUGUUCGGAAUUACUGGGCGUAAAGGGCGCGUAGGCGGCCUGCUAAGUCGAACGUGAAAUCCCCGGGCUCAACCCGGGAACUGCGUCCGAUACUGGCAGGCUUGAAUUCGGGAGAGGGAUGCGGAAUUCCAGGUGUAGCGGCGAAAUGCGUAGAUAUCUGGAGGAACACCGGUGGCGAAGGCGGCAUCCUGGACCGAAAUUGACGCUGAGGCGCGAAAGCCAGGGGAGCAAACGGG